UACAGAGGUGGCAAGCGUUGUUCGGAAUUACUGGGCGUAAAGGGCGCGUAGGCGGCCUUCUAAGUCAGACGUGAAAUCCCCAGGCUUAACUUGGGAACUGCGUCUGAUACUGGGAGGCUUGAGUGCGGGAGAGGGAUGUGGAAUUCCAGGUGUAGCGGUGAAAUGCGUAGAUAUCUGGAGGAACACCGGUGGCGAAGGCGGCAUCCUGGACCGAGAUUGACGCUGAUGCGCGAAAGCCAGGGGAGCAAACGGG
rnacentral:rRNA from 1 species